rnacentral:rRNA from 1 species
ACCUAGCGUAGUUCGGAAUUACUGGGCUUAAAGAGCUCGUAGGUGGUUAAGAAAGUUGGUGGUGAAAUCCCAAGGCUUAACCUUGGAACUGCCACCAAAACUUUUUGACUAGAGUAUGAUAGAGGUAAGUGGAAUUUCUAGUGUAGAGGUGAAAUUCGUAGAUAUUAGAAAGAACACCAAUUGCGAAGGCAGCUUUCUGGAUCAUUACUGACACUGAGGAGCGAAAGCAUGGGUAGCGAAGAGGAUUAGAUACCCUCGUAGUCCAUGCCGUAAACGAUGUGUGCUAGACGUUGGAAACUUAGUUUUCAGUGUCGCAGCAAAAGCGUUAAGCACACCGCCUGGGGAGUACGACCGUAAGGUUAAAACUCAAAUGAAUUGACGGGGACCCGCACAAGCAGUGGAGCAUGUGGUUUAAUUCGAAGAUACGCGCAGAACCUUACCAACACUUGACAUGUUCGUCGCGAACCCAAGAGAUUGGGUUCUUCAGUUUGGCUGGACGAAACACAGGUGCUGCAUGGCUGUCGUCAGCUCGUGUCGUGAGAUGUUGGGUUAAGUCCCGCAACGAGCGCAACCCUUACUUUUAGUUGCCAUCAUUCAGUUGGGCACUCUAAAAGAACUGCCAGUGAUAAGCUGGAGGAAGGUGGGGAUGACGUCAAGUCCUCAUGGCCCUUACGUGUUGGGCUACACACGUGCUACAAUGGUAUUUACAAUGGGAUGCUAAGAGGCGACUCCAAGCAAAUCCCAAAAAGGUACCUCAGUUCGGAUUGUACUCUGCAACUCGAGUACAUGAAGCUGGAAUUGCUAGUAAUCGCGGAUCAGCGCGCCGCGGUGAAUACGUUCCCGGG